AGAGUUUGAUCAUGGCUCAGGACGAACGCUGGCGGCACGCUUAAAACAUGCAAGUCGAACGUGAAGCCCGGGCUUGCCCGGGUGGAAAGUGGCGAACGGGUGCGUAACACGUGAGCAACCUGCCCCGAAGACCGGGAUAACACCGGGAAACCGGUGCUAAUACCGGAUGCCUUCACCACGUCGCAUGGCGAGGUGAAGAAAUGGAUUCCGCUUCGGGAUGGGCUCGCGGCCUAUCAGCUUGUUGGUGGGGUAACGGCCUACCAAGGCAACGACGGGUAGCUGGUCUGAGAGGAUGUCCAGCCACACUGGGACUGAGACACGGCCCAGACUCCUACGGGAGGCAGCAGUUAGGAAUCUUGCGCAAUGGGCGAAAGCCUGACGCAGCGAUGCCGCGUGCGGGAUGAAGGCCUUCGGGUCGUAAACCGCUUUCAGCAGGGACGAUUGUGACGGUACCUGCAGAAGAAGCCCCGGCCAACUACGUGCCAGCAGCCGCGGUA
rnacentral:rRNA from 1 species